GACGAACGCUGGCGGCGUGCUUAACACAUGCAAGUCGAACGGUAAGGCCCUUCGGGGUACGACGAGUGGCGAACGGGUGGAGUAACACGUGGGUGAUCUGCCCUGCACUUCGGGAUAAGCCUGGGAAACUAGGUCUAAUACCGGAUAGGACUCCUGGCUUCAUGGUUGGGGGUGUAAAGCUUUUGUCGGUGUGGGGAUGGGCCCGCGGCCUAUCAGCUUGUCGGUGGGGUAAUGGCCUACCAAGGCGACGACGGGUAGCCGGCCUGAGAGGGUGACCGGCCACACUGGGACUGAGAUACGGCCCAGACUCCUACGGGAGCAGCAGUGGGAAUAUUGCACAAUGGGCGCAAGCCUGAUGCAGCGACGCCGCGUGAGGGAUGACGGCCUU
rnacentral:rRNA from 1 species